ACAGGUUUGGGAACCACUGUUCUAGAGGGCGGCCAUUUGUGAGAGGGAGAGGAGCAGGUCAGCGGUGUGGACAGGUGAAUACUCCGUUGGAUUCAUCACCGUUAAGUUGUUGCUCUGGCCUUCUGUCAGGAUAAACCAGACUUAAAGACCGAUAGAACCAAUCCAAACAGUUGUUUAUUGAACAGAUGGGAUAAUGGCACAAUUCAAAUGAGUAAAUGGCAAAUAAACAGUCUUUGAAUGAAUGCUGGUGGAUGAUGGAGGACGUGGAUGGAUUUUAUCCUGGAGCUGACUGGCAUGCUGAUGGGGAACAGGUGCGGGUGAUGGCCAAGUGAGUGCAGCUCCACAUUCUAGCAGCUGCCUCUCGUGAUCCGCGCUCUGCAGACUUCUGCACCUCCAUCAGCACAGAGAGCACAGAGACAUUUUCCCUGCUUGUGCACAGAUGAGAAGCAUGAAGCAGAUAGUGAUUCUGAUGACUCUCAUAAGUGGUGAGUUUAAUUUUGCCUGUGUAUAGCAAAAAUCUAAUCCUGAGUUGUGUGCAUGUAAAUGAGAACUGUAUUUGACUCAUACAGACAAAUGAAUAAUCGAUUUUUCACAUAGGUGUGUUCACCGCUCCAUUUGUGAAGGGGGAGCAGGCCACGAAAUUUUUACGUAUAAAGAGACAGUCUGGCUACUGGGAUCCCAAUUAUUCUCAGAACCAAUGGGGUUACACCAUACAAGAGCAGGUGAACACUAGCGACCUAUCCACAGCCUCAGAUUUGAUAUGUUGUGUGAAAAAGGCUUCCACUGUUCAGCUGAUUAUAAUGUUUGUAUGUACAGUAUAAGUGAAAUCGAACCAAAGUACAUCUAUCACUUGCUUCGUAUGUGGAACCUCUAAAAGCUACAGCACUAUUUACAUCAAAUAAAAAGAACUCUUAAGGUUUUUUUGCAGCCUGCAAAAGGUUCUGUUUAUUCUAUUUUGAGGUUCUAAACCUUUUUGUUUUAUAUUUAUCCUGGAUGUUUGAAUUAAGAAUUGAGAAUUUCUUUAUACAGCCAUUAUUUAGUUAUUUAGAUAAGGUGCAGCAAGCGAUUUCUGAGAAACUGUUGAUUUUUGAAAUCAACCCAAACACACCCCUCCCUUCAUUGCUCCGCCCCCAAACUUCAUGCAAUGCAAGAGUGGAUGUCUCUUCAUCAGUCUUGCUCACUCUCUCUCCUCCCCCAUCAUGAGUGGACACACCCCUUACUGCUGAUUGGCUACAAGUGUGUUGUGCUGCUCGGUCUGAUCCACUUUCAACAGCGUUUCUCAGAAAUCACUUACUGCACCUUUAAGUCAUCAGCAGUCAAAAUGUAUUUACAAUGACAUAAGGAAAGUGAUUAAAACACAUUAAAGUAUAGUGCAAUAGGUAAAAGUAUGAAAAAAAUGUUUUUUAAUGAAAUUAAGUACAUGAUUAGUAAUAAUAUUACUGGAAUAUGGUGUUUAUGUGGCAGGCAAAUGAAUACUAUACUGAUCUGAGAACAAAUGCUCAAUACUACAUGGACAUGGGAAACCUGGUAUUUGACCGUUCUGUGGCUGAGUGAGUACCAUGAUAAGACAGAAAAGAAAAGUACAAUGCAAUAAAACAACAAAGAAAUGAACGUCUUUUUUUUUCUCUCCAUAGUGACAACAGUAGGCUCUACAUGGAUAUGCUGAGGAAUGUAAGAGCACAGCUGGAUGCACACACAGGCCAACAGUGAUUGAUAUGGACAAAACCAUUGACUAAUUGAGUCAAUGGAGAGUGCUGAGGCUGCUUUGCUGAUCUAAGGGAUGUGAGCAGGACAGCAGCCAAUAUUUUUUUGCAUAGAGUUCUCUCAGAGAUUGCAAUUAAUUAGUUUGCAGAAAUGCUUUUUAUACAGUGUGCAGUAUGGAGGACUAGGAGAGCCACUUUAAAAUAAAAUAAAGAAAUCGGUUUAAGUAAUUAUUAAAUAUGUAUGAGAUAACAAGAAAAGUGAUUGGCAAAUGCAUUAAAAAGAUGAAUUAAAAUUAUUUAGCAAUUCAUUAUUUU